AGAGUUUGAUCCUGGCUCAGAUUGAACGCUGGCGGCAUGCUUUACACAUGCAAGUCGAACGGCAGCGGGGGCUUCGGCCUGCCGGCGAGUGGCGAACGGGUGAGUAAUGCAUCGGAACGUGCCCAUGUCGUGGGGGAUAACGUAGCGAAAGCUACGCUAAUACCGCAUACGUCCUGAGGGAGAAAGCGGGGGAUUCUUCGGAACCUCGCGCGAUUGGAGCGGCCGAUGUCGGAUUAGCUAGUAGGUGAGGUAAAGGCUCACCUAGGCGACGAUCCGUAGCGGGUCUGAGAGGAUGAUCCGCCACACUGGGACUGAGACACGGCCCAGACUCCUACGGGAGGCAGCAGUGGGGAAUUUUGGACAAUGGGCGCAAGCCUGAUCCAGCCAUGCCGCGUGAGUGAAGAAGGCCUUCGGGUUGUAAAGCUCUUUCGGCCGGGAAGAAAUCGUGUUCUCUAACAUAGGACAUGGAUGACGGUACCGGACUAAGAAGCACCGGCUAACUACGUGCCAGCAGCCGCGGUAAUACGUAGGGUGCGAGCGUUAAUCGGAAUUACUGGGCGUAAAGCGUGCGCAGGCGGUUUUGUAAGACAGAUGUGAAAUCCCCGGGCUUAACCUGGGAACUGCGUUUGUGACUGCAAGGCUAGAGUACGGCAGAGGGGGGUGGAAUUCCUGGUGUAGCAGUGAAAUGCGUAGAGAUCAGGAGGAACACCGAUGGCGAA
rnacentral:rRNA from 1 species